GGAAAUGUCUCAAUUUCGUCCAAAACCGUUGGAAACCCUAUAAAGGGUGCUUUUUGAUUCAUCCUCAUAUCGACUCCAACGCUCCAAAAAAUGAUUGGGCAUUGUUUCUGGACUCAAGAGAAGUAUGUUGAUGGUGGAAAUUGCACGAAAUCAUUUCACGAAUGGCGGAUUCACAGCCGUGGGUGCCCUCGAAGCCGAUGGCUUCGAUCUUCAUGAAUCAAGGUCCAAUUCCUUCGAUUUUGGAAUGAAACGUGAAGAAGGAAGGUUGAAAAGUUAGUUCUAGAUGGUGGAUAGCCACAAUUUGUCGGAAAAACUGAAGAAAAC
rnacentral:lncRNA from 1 species